rnacentral:rRNA from 1 species
GGUUCAGGAUGAACGCUAGCGACAGGCUUAACACAUGCAAGUCGAGGGGCAGCAUAAAAGUAGCAAUACUUGGUGGCGACCGGCGCACGGGUGAGUAACGCGUAUGCAACCUACCUUUCAGAGGGGAAUAACCCGGCGAAAGUCGGACUAAUACCGCAUAAAACAGGGACACCGCAUGGUGAUAUUUGUUAAAGAAAUUCGCUGAUAGAUGGGCAUGCGUUCCAUUAGGUAGUUGGUGAGGUAACGGCUCACCAAGCCGACGAUGGAUAGGGGAACUGAGAGGUUGGUCCCCCACACUGGUACUGAGACACGGACCAGACUCCUACGGGAGGCAGCAGUGAGGAAUAUUGGUCAAUGGGCGAGAGCCUGAACCAGCCAAGUCGCGUGAAGGAAAGAAGGAUCUAUGGUUCGUAAACUUCUUUUGCAGGGGAAUAAAGUGCAGGACGUGUCCUGUUUUGUAUGUACCCUGAGAAUAAGGAUCGGCUAACUCCGUGCCAGCAGCUGC